AGCGAACGCUGGCGGCAGGCUUAACACAUGCAAGUCGAACGGGUGUAGCAAUACAUCAGUGGCAGACGGGUGAGUAGCACGUGGGAACCUUCCUAGGGGUACGGAACAACUCAGGGAAACUUGAGCUAAUACCGUAUACGUCCGUGAGGAGAAAGAUUUAUCGCCCUUAGACGGGCCCGCGUCGGAUUAGCUAGUUGGUGGGGUAACGGCCUACCAAGGCGACGAUCCGUAGCUGAUCUUAGAGGAUGAUCAGCCACACUGGGACUGAGACACGGCCCAGACUCCUACGGGAGGCAGCAGUGGGGAAUCUUGGACAAUGGGCGCAAGCCUGAUCCAGCCAUGCCGCGUGAGUGAAGAAGGUCUUCGGAUUGUAAAGCUCUUUUGCCAGGGACGAUAAUGACGGUACCUGGAGAAUAAGCCCCGGCAGACUUCGUGCCAGCCGCCGCAGUAA
rnacentral:rRNA from 1 species